rnacentral:rRNA from 1 species
CCUACGGGCGGCAGCAGUGGGGAAUAUUGCGCAAUGGGCGAAAGCCUGACGCAGCGACGCCGCGUGAGGGAUGAAGGUCUUCGGAUCGUAAACCUCUGUCAGCAGGGAAGAAAGGUCACUGUGCUAAUCAGCAGUGAAUUGACGGUACCUGCAAAGGAAGCACCGGCUAACUCCGUGCCAGCAGCCGCGGUAAUACGGAGGGUGCGAGCGUUAAUCGGAAUUACUGGGCGUAAAGCGCUCGUAGGCGGUAUGUCAAGUCAAGGGGGAAAUCCCCGCGCUCAACGUGGGAACUGCCUUUGAAACUGGCAAACUGGAGUGUGUGAGAGGAUAGUGGAAUUCCAGGUGUAGGGGUGAAAUCCGUAGAUAUCUGGAGGAACAUCAGUGGCGAAGGCGACUAUCUGGCACAUAACUGACGCUGAGGAGCGAAAGCGUGGGUAGCAAACAGGAUUAGAUACCCCUGUAGUC